GACGAACGCUGGCGGCGUGCUUAACACAUGCAAGUCGAACGGUGAAGCCCUUCGGGGUGGAUCAGUGGCGAACGGGUGAGUAACACGUGAGCAACCUGCCCCUGGCUCUGGGACAACCACUGGAAACGGUGGCUAAUACCGGAUACGACCCGCCUCGGCAUCGAGUGUGGGUGGAAAGUUUUUCGGCUGGGGAUGGGCUCGCGGCCUAUCAGCUUGUUGGUGAGGUGAAGGCUCACCAAGGCGACGACGGGUAGCCGGCCUGAGAGGGCGACCGGCCACAGGGGGACUGAGAAACGCCCCGGACUCCGACGGGGGGCAGCAGUGGGAAAUAUUGCACAUGGGGCGAAAGCCUGAUGCAGCGACGCCGGGUGGGGGAGGAGGGCUUGCGGUUUGAAAACCUCUUUCACCUCCGAAGAAGGGAAAGUGACGUUAGGAGAAAAAGAAGCCCCGGCUAACUACGUG
rnacentral:rRNA from 1 species